ensembl:lncRNA
CUCUCUAUAUAUAUAUAUAUAUUUUUUUUACUAAAUAUGUGUGAACUGUGCAGUAUAUUACAGUAACACUCUGGAGUGUAUCACAGCAAAAAAUUUGCCAGAAGGGAAAAAAAAAAUAGUAUUUAACAAUUUCUUGCUCUUAAUUCCAACAAUUUUAUAGAAAAAAAAUAAUAAUAAUAAUUUACCCCACAUAAAAAAAUAAAUAAAAAAUCUUAAAGAAAACAUGCUUAAAAUCACUCUUUGUAUUACAAUGGCUUCAUAAAAGCAAUUCUUGUUAGCAUAAAAUGAAAAUAAAUAAGUGUCAAUGCUGGGCUCUCUGAGAGUUAAAGAUGCAUGGACAUCUGAUAAUCCAGGGUUAAUCUGUCACGAGACCCGUGUGUGAUGUUCAGGGGUUAAAACAAAGAUGCGCAAGAGAGAGUCGCUGUUUCCCUCCACAGACACGAUGCGCUCUUCCACACAGUGCACUCGCUCAUCCUAGUAGGACCUCAGUCAGUGGUCAGUGUACACACACACUUUGCAUCUUCUCCCCGCGGAGGCUGCACUUCAGCACCAGGCGCGAGAACAAUUCCCCAACUUCACUUCACUUGCGCUCGAGACGCCGCGCGCGCACACUCACAUUCUGUCACAUUCAUCGACGCGUGUAUCAUCCGCUGUGUGGUGAAAAGCGCAGACCUGCGUGGGACCGAUUUCCCGCCGCUGCGAGGAAGCACCAACCGUCCUCUGAAAGGCCUCUGCAUCUUCACCCUGAAGCAUGAUCAUUCGUGCAUAAAUGCAUCUCUGUUUGUCAACACAGCAGUCUGACCAUUAAGUGCAGUCUGAGAGGAAAUGAGAGAAAAGAGGACUGUUCCCUCUCUCACACACGUUCAGACAUGAUGAGUAUCAAUAAUUCAUAGGGACUCGUGCUGACCCUGCCUUUAGUGACCUCUGUCAUGUCCUGCCUGCUGCUACUUUAUAAAUAAACAUCUGUUCAUGCCGGGCUUUCA